AUGCGGGCACAGGCCGACCCUUGGUUCUCCGAAUACCUCCUAAGGAUUGGCAAUGGAACGGAAGAAACUAUUGGUGACGACUAUGUGCGUCUGCCUGAAGACAUUGUGAUUGGUUAUACUGAGGACGAAGAACCUAUUAACAAGCUCAUCGAAGAUGUCUUCCCAUCCCUGCACACCAAUGCUAGGUCGAGGGAGUACAUGAGCAAACGUGCAAUUCUCUCGACCAAAAACGAGCAUGUGGAUGACCUGAAUGACAAGAUGAUCUCUAGGUUUCCGGGAGAAGAAAAGGUAUACCAUAGAUAA
rnacentral:rRNA from 1 species